AAAUGAAGAAGUAAAAAACAGAAAAAGAUAAAAGCUAAGCUUGAAGACGUUUAAGAUCAUAUCUUGGAGAACACAGAUCAACARAAUCUUACUGGUGCUAUCUUUAUUGCUCUCAAAAAGACUUUUGAUUUAGUAAACCAUCAAUGUCUUCUCCACGAGUUAGAACAUUAUGGAGUCAGAGGUCAGAGCAUAAAUUGGUUCAGAUAUUAUUUAACUACACGCUCUCAAAGAGUAUGGUAUGAACAGGACUUAUCAACUAGCCUACACCUUGAAUACGGCGUCCCUCAAGGUUCUUUACUCGGGCCUCUGCUCUUUAGUUAUUCACAUAAACGAAUUGCCAUUGUGUUUAAAAUUAUCUUUGAUCAGCAUGUAUGCCGGUGAUACAGUCAUAUACUUCUCUGGAAUCGAUGUAAGUACUGUCAAGGUUGUUUUACAAGACGACCUAAAUCGUCUUGAGCUGUGGAUGGAGGGAAGUCAGCUGGUACUAAUUCAGAGCAAGAAGAAAGGACUACUCUUUGGAACAAGACAAAAGUUAGAAAACACUGCAGAUUUCAUUCUCCAACUCAAAGGAAAGACCAUUGAAAGAGUCACAAAAUUCCAUUAUCUGGGCAUUAUAUGUUAGAUGAAAACUUCACGUCGAAAGAAAAUUCUGACUUUGUCUACAAUAAUAAAGUGGUUAAAAGCUCGGGUCUUCUGUCAUAGUCUUAUUUAUAUUAAUAUUCAUUAUAACUAAAUUCAUUUUAUUUUUUCGUUAGUUUCAUAUUUAAAUUUUCCAAUUUUCCUUAUUGCGUAUUUUCUUAAGACCAAUUAGUAGUUUUAAUUCUAGCUUGAUUAUGUUAGUAGGAUUUUUAAUUACUAUUAUCGUUUCUAAAAUUGUAAAUUAGUGUAGUAGACUAGUGUAGUAGAAUAGUCAUUUUUUAAAUUGUAAAUUAGUUUUGUAGGGCCCCUAUGGACAACAGCUAUGCUGAAUAUAGGCCACCCUGUUGAAAUAAAGCUAUCUAUCUAAA